GUGGGGAAUAUUGCACAAUGGGGGAAACCCUGAUGCAGCAACGCCGCGUGAAGGAUGAAGGUUUUCGGAUCGUAAACUUCUAUCAAUAGGGACGAAGAAAGUGACGGUACCUAAAUAAGAAGCCCCGGCUAACUACGUGCCAGCAGCCGCGGUAAUACGUAGGGGGCAAGCGUUAUCCGGAAUUACUGGGUGUAAAGGGAGCGUAGGCGGCACGCCAAGCCAGAUGUGAAAGCCCGAGGCUUAACCUCGCGGAUUGCAUUUGGAACUGGCGAGCUAGAGUACAGGAGAGGAAAGCGGAAUUCCUAGUGUAGCGGUGAAAUGCGUAGAUAUUAGGAAGAACACCAGUGGCGAAGGCGGCUUUCUGGACUGAAACUGACGCUGAGGCUCGAAAGCGUGGGGAGCAAACAGGAUUAGAAACCCCAGUAGUCC
rnacentral:rRNA from 1 species